GUCUACGACCAUAACACCCUGAACGCGCCCCAUCUCGUCUGAUCUCGGAAGCUAAGCAGGGUCACGCCUGGUUAGUACUUGGAUGGGAGAAAAUACACAAACACACCAAAAAGGCACUUGUUCACC
ensembl:rRNA 5S_rRNA 5S ribosomal RNA